ACGAACGCUGGCGGCAUGCCUAACACCUGCCAGUCGCACGAGACCUUCGGGUCUAGUGGCGCCCGGGUGCGUAACGCGUGGGAACCUGCCCUUAGGUUCGGAAUAACUCCCCGAAAGGGGUGCUAAUACCGGAUAAUGUCUUCGGACCAAAGAUUUAUCGCCUUUGGAUGGGCCCGCGUUGGAUUAGCUAGUUGGUAGGGUAAAAGCCUACCAAGGCGACGAUCCAUAGCUGGUCUGAGAGGAUGAUCAGCCACACUGGGACUGAGACACGGCCCAGACUCCUACGGGAGGCAGCAGUGGGGAAUAUUGGACAAUGGGCGAAAGCCUUAUCCAGCAAUGCCGCGUGAGUGAUGAAGGCCUUAGGGUUGUAAAGCUCUUUUACCCGGGAUGAUAAUGACAGUACCGGGAGAAUAAGCGCCGGCUAACUCCGUG
rnacentral:rRNA from 1 species